rnacentral:rRNA from 1 species
AUUGACCGCUGUCGGCAGGCCUAACACAUGCAAGUCGAACGCGUGGCGGACGGGUUAGUAAUGUCUGGGAAACUGCCCGAUGGAGGGGGCUAACUAAUGGAAACGGUAGAUAAUACCGCAUACACUCGGCUGUGCCCAGCUGGGAUUCGCUAGUGGGUGGGGUAAAGGCUCACCUAGGCGACGAUCCCUAGCUGGUCUGAGAGGAUGACCAGCCACACUGGAACUGAGACACGGUCCAGACUCCGACGGGAGGCAGCAGUGGGGAAUAUUGCACAAUGGGCGCAAGCCUGAUGCAGCCAUGCCGCGUGUAUGAAGAAGGCCUUCGGGGUGUAAAGUACUUUCAGCGGGGAGGCGGUACCCGCAGAAGAAGCACCGGCUAACUCCGUGCCAGCAGCCGCGGUAAUAC